CAAAGUCCUGCACCCUAGCAACCCCCACAUCAGCAGCGGCUCCACAGUGGCCACAUGCCUGAGCCAAGGAGGCCUCCUGGACGACCUGGACCACCUCAUCCUGGAGGACCUGAAGGAGGAGGAAGAGGAGGAAGAAGAGGAGGAUGGUGGGCCCCGAGAGUGACCCUGGCCAGGUGCACGAAGGAAUGACAGACACAGUGAAUGGACACCUCCUGUUGCUAUAAGAUACCAGCUCAAGGAGAUAGGAGCACCCUUGGGGGGGUACUCAUGGGACAGUCACAACCGAACAAGCCGGGUCAGCAUAGCAGCCUUCUUCAGAGAGUACGCCCCACCACGGAACUCGGCCCAGUAGACCCCGUCCUGGUAUCGGCUCCGGUAAUGACCUCCGUGAUACCAUACACCAUUGAGGUUGGAGUGGGCGCAGGCAUGGUACCACCAGCCCCCACGAUGGUAGAGGGCACAGUUGCCUGAGGGGGGAGAGAGAGGAGAGAGAAAGAGACAGCAUUCGUUUUCCCACCAAAAUAAAAGUAUCUACCAGCACUUCUUUGUGCAAAGCUUUUGCAAGCAAGCAUUCCUCAACCUUCCAUAUCUUAUUGAAUAGAAGCCCUGAUACUCCAUUUCUUCACCAAAAUAAAAGGCUGUGGCUUCUCACUU
rnacentral:lncRNA from 1 species